CAAGAAAUCUAAACGAUUUGAGAUAAAAAUAGCGCUGUUGCUCUCUAGGCAUGGGGUUUGUAGUCUAAUUUCUCUUCUUCAUCUUUAUUUUUUUGGGUGCGGUUUAACAUUAUAUUAUUUGGUUUUGGUGCACAGAUAUUGUGGUUGAUAACUGCACAAUUUGUAAGAAUCAUAUCAUGGAUCUUUAUAACAGCGAGUGGGAAUUUCAAAAGUACGGCCAUUAGAAUCUUGGCAUCAAUGAAGUUAAAAAGAGGGCAGAGUCUAUCUUCUAUAUUAAACAGAAGUCAAGUGUGCAGUUUCCCAAGUGUAAUUGAUCAAGAUUUCUCUGUUCAUAGAAGGUUUUUGAUGCAAAA